AGAAUCAACGCUGGCGGCGUGCCUAACACAUGCAAGUCGAACGAGAAAGUGGGAGCAAUCCCACGAGUAAAGUGGCGCACGGGUGAGUAACACGUGACUAACCUACCCUUGAGUGGGGGAUAACCUAGGGAAACCUGGGCUAAUACCGCAUAAUACCUACGGGUCAAAGGAGCAAUUCGCUUAAGGAGGGGGUCGCGGCAGAUUAGUUAGUUGGCGGGGUAAUGGCCCACCAAGACAGUGAUCUGUAUCCGGCCUGAGAGGGCGCACGGACACACUGGAACUGAAACACGGUCCAGACUCCUACGGGAGGCAGCAGUGGGAAUUUUGCGCAAUGGGGGAAACCCUGACGCAGCAACGCCGCGUGGAGGAUGAAGCCCCUUGGGGCGUAAACUCCUUUCGAUCGGGAAGAUAAUGACGGUACGGAAGAAGAAGCCCGGCUAACUUCGCGCCAGCAGCCGC
rnacentral:rRNA from 1 species